rnacentral:rRNA from 1 species
AUGAAGCUGGAUUCGCUAGUAAUCGCGCAUCAGCCACGGCGCGGUGAAUACGUUCCCGGGCCUUGUACACACCGCCCGUCAAGCCAUGGAAGCCGGGAGUGCCUGAAGUACGCGACCGCAAGGAGCGUCCUAAGGUAAAACCGGUGACUGGGGCUAAGUCGUAACAAGGUAGC